CACGUAGGGUGCGAGCGUUGUCCGGAAUUAUUGGGCGUAAAGAGCUCGUAGGCGGCUUGUCGCGUCGUCCGUGAAAACCUGCGGCUCAACUGCAGGCUGGCGGUCGAUACGGGCAGGCUGGAGUUCGGUAGGGGAGACUGGAAUUCCUGGUGUAGCGGUGAAAUGCGCAGAUAUCAGGAGGAACACCGGUGGCGAAGGCGGGACUCUGGGCCGAUACUGACGCUGAGGAGCGAAAGCGUGGGGAGCGAACAGG
rnacentral:rRNA from 1 species